AGUAAUACUUUAAAAUCUAAUAAGAAGGAAAAUUUAAAGAAAAAAAGUAAAAAGGAAAGUUUGAAGACGAAUAAGAAAAGAAAGCACGAAACACCGGAAAUUAAAAAGUCUAAAAAACGUUCUCAGAAGAAUCUUUCUAGUCCUGGAAGGAAACGGAAAAAAAGUGAUUUUACUUCUCCUCCUCAAGUUUUUUCUUUAAAUAAACGUAAUAAAGUUUUUGAGGAUGAUUCAGUUAUAAAGUCGAGAUCGAUUAAAGAACACGAAAAAAAUUUACUUAAAACUUUUAGACAAAAAGAAGCUACGAGACAACCUUUAUCAACAAAUUCGAAGCUUGAAAAUUCCAUUUUUAAACAACUUACAAAAAAUCAAAGGAAAAAAUUUAAUCAAAAAAAAAAGCAGCAGUUGCAACAAGAUUUAGAAAUUGAAAAAUUUAUGAAAACAGAAAUGGAAAGAAAUAAAUUCGUACAAGAUACUGUGAAAUUUUCAAACAUUGUUUCGGAAGAAAUAAAUACAUCGUAUUGCUCUAAAGAGCUUCCAGAGAAGCCACUUUCAAAUAAUGAAGUGUUAAAGUUAAGUGCAGAGAAAGAUGAACAAACUAAUCAAAGUUUUAUAUACGUUUGUCCUCCAGUAAGUUAUGAAAGUUAUCCUAAAUUUAUUGGUUUUCCGAGGAAAGGUGAACGCAUCGCCUUUAAACUACUAGAACUCGCGCUGGAUUAUACUCCACAGCUGUCGACUUUCAAAGAGGGAACCGUAGAAGAUUUUGAUUCAACAAAAAAAAAAGUUUCAAUAAGACUUGAAGAACAUUCGAUUAACAGAAUUGAUCGAUCUGGAGGACGUUUUGAAUUGGAAGAUGAAGAUGAAGAUGAGGAAAAUCUUGAUCUGAUUAAAAUCGAAUGGGAUUCACUUCAAGAUGUCCGAAAGUUAUCAUAACGUGAAA